AGCAUCCUGUUUUGUGUGCAGUGUAAGGCCAAGGGGUUCGAUUGAGGCUAGUUCUACAUCUGCAACACCCAGCUAAAAAAAGAAAUGUUAUUCAGCAUUAGAAAUGAAUGUUUUACUGAUAAUUACAGUCAUCCAAAAUAUGAAAAUGGCGAAAAGUUGAUGAUUUUGAAAGACUGCGCAUCUUUGGGCAAUGGUCUGGACAAGAAAAUCAAAAGAGGAUUAUAUGCUUGAAACUACUUUGAACCUAAUUCAUUACAAGAAUCAAAUAAAUACAUUAAUUUUUUGAGGAAUCAUGGAACCAUUAACAUUAUUGAAUAAAUAUUCUUUGUGCAUGUUAAUUAAGUAUUAUGAUUAUUUUUUGUACACAAAUCAAACAAGUUUAUAAAGAACAAAUGUAAGGACCUCUGUUGUCAUCAUAUUUUCUGUGUAGUGGUGUUAAGCUGAAUAUAUUUCUAGCUGUUCAAACCAAAGCUGAGCAAUAUUGACCGCUUCUACAUUUGGUGCUAAAUGUGGGGCCUAUGUAAUCCUGUGGACAAGAAAGCUUGGUGAAAGCAUUCUGAGGCAGUUGUUGAAAUUAUUUUCUAGGAAGGAAAGACAAUGUGUUUGUGUUAGUUUGAACACAUUUCUUUCAUAUCUGGCAAAUACAUGUACAGUACUGUA